CCUACGGGAGGCAGCAGUGAGGAAUAUUGGUCAAUGGCCGGAAGGCUGAACCAGCCAUGCCGCGUGAAGGUCAGUGCCCUAUGGGCGUUAAACUUCUUUUGUGCGGGAGCAAUAAUGGUCACGUGUGGCCAGACGAGAGUACCGUACGAAUAAGCAUCGGCUAACUCCGUGCCAGCAGCCGCGGUAAUACGGGGGAUGCAAGCGUUAUCCGGAUUUAUUGGGUUUAAAGGGUGCGUAGGCUGGGAGGUAAGUCAGCGGUGAAAUGCCCCCGCUCAACGGGGUGAAGUGCAAUUGAUACUGCCUGGCUGGAAUGCGGAUGCCGUGGGAGGAAUGUGUGGUGUAGCGGUGAAAUGCAUAGAUAUCACACAGAACACCGAUUGCGAAGGCAUCUCACGAAUCCGCGAUUGACGCUGAUGCACGAAAGCGUGGGUAUCAAACAGGAUUAGAUACCCGAGUAGUC
rnacentral:rRNA from 1 species